AUUUAAAUAGCUUAAUAAGAGUAUGACUUUGAAGAAGUUAUGGUGAUUUUAUAAUCUUUAAAUA
rnacentral:tRNA from 1 species